AGAGUUUGAUCCUGGCUCAGGAUGAACGCUGGCGGCGUGCCUAAUACAUGCAAGUCGAGCGAACGGACGAGAAGCUUGCUUCUCUGAUGUUAGCGGCGGACGGGUGAGUAACACGUGGAUAACCUACCUAUAAGACUGGGAUAACUUCGGGAAACCGGAGCUAAUACCGGAUAAUAUUUUGAACCGCAUGGUUCAAAAGUGAAAGACGGUCUUGCUGUCACUUAUAGAUGGAUCCGCGCUGCAUUAGCUAGUUGGUAAGGUAACGGCUUACCAAGGCAACGAUGCAUAGCCGACCUGAGAGGGUGAUCGGCCACACUGGAACUGAGACACGGUCCAGACUCCUACGGGAGGCAGCAGUAGGGAAUCUUCCGCAAUGGGCGAAAGCCUGACGGAGCAACGCCGCGUGAGUGAUGAAGGUCUUCGGAUCGUAAAACUCUGUUAUUAGGGAAGAACAUAUGUGUAAGUAACUGUGCACAUCUUGACGGUACCUAAUCAGAAAGCCACGGCUAACUACGUGCCAGCAGCCGCGGUAAUACGUAGGUGGCAAGCGUUAUCCGGAAUUAUUGGGCGUAAAGCGCGCGUAGGCGGUUUUUUAAGUCUGAUGUGAAAGCCCACGGCUCAACCGUGGAGGGUCAUUGGAAACUGGAAAACUUGAGUGCAGAAGAGGAAAGUGGAAUUCCAUGUGUAGCGGUGAAAUGCGCAGAGAUAUGGAGGAACACCAGUGGCGAAGGCGACUUUCUGGUCUGUAACUGACGCUGAUGUGCGAAAGCGUGGGGAUCAAACAGGAUUAGAUACCCUGGUAGUCCACGCCGUAAACGAUGAGUGCUAAGUGUUAGGGGGUUUCCGCCCCUUAGUGCUGCAGCUAACGCAUUAAGCACUCCGCCUGGGGAGUACGACCGCAAGGUUGAAACUCAAAGGAAUUGACGGC
rnacentral:rRNA from 1 species